rnacentral:rRNA from 1 species
CCUACGGGUGGCAGCAGUGGGGAAUAUUGCACAAUGGGGGAAACCCUGAUGCAGCGACGCCGCGUGAGGGAAGAAGGAUUUCGGAAUGUAAAGCUCUAUCAGCAGGGAAGAAAAAGACGGUACCUGAAUAAGUAGCUCCGGCCAACAACGUGCCAGCAGCCGCGGGAAUACGUAGGGGGCAAGCGUUAUCCGGAGUUACUGGGUGGAAAGGGAGCGGAGACGGCCGCUCAAGGCAGGGGUGAAAGGCCGGGGCUUAACCCCGAAUCUGCUUUGGAUACUGGGCAGCUAGAGUGCAGGAGAGGUAAGUGGAAUUCCUAGUGUAGCGGUGAAAUGCGUAGAUAUUAGGAAGAACACCAAUGGCGAAGGCAGCUUACUGGACUGUAACUGACGUUGAGGCUCGAAAGCGUGGGGAGCAAACAGGAUUAGAUACCCCGGUAGUC